UCAUGGAAAGAAUCGAGACGGCUGGGGAAGUCCAGAGCCCGGUGAAGGGCGUCGCCGUGGGCUCAGAACCACCAGCCAGCACAGCCUCAGCCCGUUGAAAGGCCGUGGAGCACUGGACUAUUUGACUGCCAUCUCGACCAAACCCAAGCUGUGAUGACGGCGUUAUUACCAUGUGUGACGUUCGGACAGAUAGCCGAGGUUUUGGACGAAGGAGAAAUGACCUGUCCAUUGGGGAGUUUCAUAUACAUGUUGAUGAUGCCUGCUGUUUGCUCCCAAUGGGUCAUGGGAUCCAAGUACAGAACCAAGCUGAGGAACUAAUAUGGGCUAGUCGAGGCACCUUACAGCGACGUCGUUUCACACAUUUUCUGCCCUUGCUGUGCCCUCUGCCAGGAGUCAGAGGGAACUCAAGAGUAGAGGCCUCGACCCGACUCUUGCCCCUCACAGUUAUUCAUUCCAAGAUAAUUUGUUCUUCAGUGACAUUAUUUGGUAAGUGCUUAAUACAAUUUUUUAAAAUUUUUAAAAAUUUGAAAGUAGAAAAUAUAAAAAAAAAAAUUGGGUAAGGGCUUCAGCCCUACCCAGUUUCUACGUGUGUCCGCCCCUGAAUAUAGGUGAUGUGGGAAUUUGAUGUUACUAAUAUACACGUGGCAUGUAAUGAUAAAUAUUCGAAUAACGGUAUUAGAGGUAACGAAAUGUGAUGCAGGAUGGAAUGGAAUCGUUGCGCAACAACACCAGUAUGGGAAUGAGCCUCCUCCGGCUCAAGCUAUGUCGAAAUAAUUUCUAAUAUUCAUUCUCAUAACUCGUGGAGUGUAUUCUUGCUUGGUUGUUUUCAAUGUAGUUGAAUUUGUAUUUGUAUAAUUUUUUUGGCA